rnacentral:rRNA from 1 species
AACGAACGUUGGCGGCGUGCUUAACACAUGCAAGUCGAGCGAGAAAGUCACCUUCGGGUGGCGAGUAAAGCGGCGCACGGGUGAGUAACACGUGAGUAACGUGCCCUUGGGUACGGGAUAACCUUUCGAAAGGAUGGCUAAUACCGUAUAAGACCACAACACCUUAUGGUGAAGGGGUCAAAGCUUUAGUGCCCAAGGAUCGGCUCGCGGUUCAUUAGGUAGUUGGCGGGGUAAUGGCCCACCAAGCCGAAGAUGAAUAGCUGGUCUGAGAGGAUGAUCAGCCACACUGGAACUGAGACACGGUCCAGACUCCUACGGGAGGCAGCAGUGGGGAAUAUUGCGCAAUGGGCGAAAGCCUGACGCAGCAACGCCGCGUGUGUGAUGAAGGCUCUCGGGUCGUAAAGCACUGUCAGGAGGGAAGAAAAAAAGACGGUACCUCCAAAGGAAGCACCGGCUAACUCCG